CACAAUUAAAGCAAAUAAUUGUACAAUUAUGAAAAAAAUGGCAAUAGGGUCAUAAUGCUACUUGUAAGCAGAUAGACAUUUGGUCAUCUGAAAGAUGCUUGUAGUCCACUAGGCACAUGUAGGCCAUACUUCUUCAAUCUAAAAGACAAAAGACGCAUCUGAGUAACAGACAUGUUUCCUUUACUCACUUACCUUCCUUUUCUAUCUUUUAUUGCAUGAUAAUAGAAUAGGUCUUAUUAUCAAUUAAGUGAUCUUCCUUGUUCUCACAAUGAGAGCAGCUGCACCAAGUCAAGUUGCUUGCUUUCAGUGAUCAUAAUCAACUAUCCAAGAAAAGAGACAAAAGAAAUCAAGAAAAAGGAGAAUAGACUAUUUAUGCAUAGUGUCUAAAACAUUGCUGAGCACAUGGAAGACACUCAAUAAAUACUUGUUUAAUGGAAUUGAAUUUGUAAGCACCAGAGACUCCUGCUUCCUCUCCACAUAGCUUGACACUUGGCUGCCCAGGAUCCUUGCAUACAAGGUGGACUCAAGAUGGCGCUGUGAGAACAACCCAGGAUUGGAGCUCUUCUCGUUGAAUCCGCAAAUGAGACCCAAUAGAAAAGUCAGCAACUACGCAGACGAC
rnacentral:lncRNA from 1 species